UACAGAGGUCCCAAGCGUUGUUCGGAUUCAUUGGGCGUAAAGGGUGCGUAGGCGGCGCGGUAAGUCGGGUGUGAAAUCUCGGAGCUUAACUCCGAAACUGCAUUCGAUACUGCCGUGCUUGAGGACUGGAGAGGAGACUGGAAUUUACGGUGUAGCGGUGAAAUGCGUAGAUAUCGUAAGGAAGACCAGUGGCGAAGGCGGGUCUCUGGACAGUUCUUGACGCUGAGGCGCGAAAGCUAGGGGAGCAAACGGG
rnacentral:rRNA from 1 species